rnacentral:lncRNA from 1 species
GUCUGAUAGCAACAAGUAGAAAUUUACAUUUGGCAUCAAUUGCCCUCAGUGCUAACUAGGAACAGAAGCCACAAAACUGGGAAGCUAGCAGCGAUAAAUUUACAACCUUGACAAAGAGAGAAAUAUGAAGAUGAAGCUAAUGGUUUCGAGCUCUCUCAGUCCAGAGGCAGUCAUCCUGUUGUUGAAGUAACAUCUUUCUACCUUUCUCAGGAUGAAAUAGCUAAAAUUCAUUUUAUCAGCUGAGAGAGGGGAAAAUAUGACACACAGACUGCCUGGUUAUAGGACUGUCAUGCUGUGGAGUCCCAUCUGCCCUUCCCAAUAAAUGUGAGCAAAUUACCCCAUUUCUUUGCUGGUUCCCUGGUUGCGGGCUGCAAGACAGUCCUGCCUUCUCAUGUAAUCAGAGCAGUAAACUGCUUUCAGCUCUGUCAGACACCAAAACCUUCCCCAUGUCCCUCAUCUGUAGGACUUGCACCCAAGCAGCAAGUGCUUUGAGCUCAUGCCCAUUUCCUCUAGGAACCUAGAGGAGUCUAGAACUAGUGAGAACCCAGGCGUCCUGUCUGCUCUGCUGUGUUUUUGCUGUGCAAGACAUCUCUGUUCUCUUCUAAAGGAGUAUCAAUUGCUCUGAGGUUGCCAAAGUUCUCCUAUCUGGUAAGACUGAAAGGAGAAAGGAGGAAGAGAGAAUCUUCAAAAUGUUUAAAGGCUUGCUGAAAACAGAGCCCAGUGCACGGGAACUAAACCUGCAAUGGCCCCAAACUGAUCCUGAGGAUCAGGCACAAAUCCAGGGUCACAACGGUGCCUCACCACCAGUGUUUGCUUCCUUCUUGAAUCCAUACAGAGAGCCAGCCCUGGCUAGGUGUCAGUUACAACAAGUAAUGCCAGGCUGGAGCAAAUUGGGAUGCAGCACAUUCUUGUAACAGUCUCCAAGAGAUGCCAGUGCCCCACUGUGGAAGAGGCAGUGCAGCAGAGAAGAGAUGGCAUAGGCUGCUGUAUGAGAAAUCAGAGCCUCCCCUCAGCAUCGGUCUUUGUCUUCAGCAUGUGUAUGGGAUUUACUCUGAUCCAAAGUAUCCUGUGAGAAAGAAAGCCAACAUGCCCGACUACUCCUGUCAGUCCUACACACACUUUUUCUCUCCACCUUCAGUUGUCUAAUUUAGACAAUUCGUUGGUAAAUAUCCCUUUUUUUUUU